AUAGAUACAUGGCUAAAGCUAAGAUCUGUUUCCUGAGAUCUUCUUCACUAUAUGGCUCCAGGUUAAAACUGCCAAAAGAUGAACUUGCUUGGGAUUAGGAAGGUGGAGGGAAACAGAAGCCAAACUUCUCAGAAGGUCACCACGAUCAGACCUGGUGAUGGGUGCCAGGAAGUCAUACCAUCAUUCAGACACAUUGUGCCAGGCUGGAUUAUGACAUCUUGACAGAUUUGGGUUGAGAGGCUGCUGGCCACAUCGGAAAGAAUGUGGGGACCACUAACAGCA